ensembl:lncRNA
UUUGUGGGAGAUCUGCCGACGUGCCCUUGAGCAGGGCGUUGACCCUGGACGCUUCUGUGUGUCGCUCUGAACGGGAGUCUGUUGGAUAACUGGUGUAGUGUAGGUCUGUUGGAUAACUGGUGUGGUGUAGGUCUGUUGGAUAACUGGUGUAGUGUAGGUCUCUUGGAUAACUGGUGUAGUGUAGGUGUGUUGGAUAACUGGUGUUGUGUAGGUCUGUUGGAUGACUGGUGUGGUGUAGUGUAGGUCUGUUGGAUAACUGGUGUGGUGUAGGUCUGUUGGAUAACUGGUGUGGUGUAGUGUAGGUCUGUUGGAUAACUGGUGUAGUGUAGUGUAGGUCUGUUGGAUAACUGGUGUGGUGUAGUGUAGGUCUGUUGGAUAACUGGUGUGGUGUAGGUCUGUUGGAUAACUGGUGUGGUGUAGGUCUGUUGGAUAACUGGUGUGGUGUACUGUAGGUCUGUUGGAUAAGUGGUAUGAUGUUGUGUUGGUCUGUUGGAGAACUGGUGUGGUGUAGUGUAGGUCUGGAUAACUGGUGUUGUGUAGUGUAGGUCUGUUGGAUAACUGGUGUGGUGUAGUGUAGGUCUGUUGGAUAACUGGUGUUGUGUAGUGUAGGUCUGGAUAACUGGUGUGGUGUAGUGUAGGUCUG